GUGGGGAAUAUUGGACAAUGGGCGAAAGCCUGAUCCAGCCAUGCCACGUGUGUGAAGAAGGUCUUCGGAUUGUAAAGCACUUUAAGUUGGGAGGAAGGGCAGUAAGUUAAUACCUUGCUGUUUUGACGUUACCGACAGAAUAAGCACCGGCUAACUUCGUGCCAGCAGCCGCGGUAAUACGAAGGGUGCAAGCGUUAAUCGGAAUUACUGGGCGUAAAGCGCGCGUAGGUGGUUUUGUAAGUUGGAGGUGAAAUCCCCGGGCUCAACCUGGGAACUGCCUCCAAAACUGCAUGACUAGAGUACGGUAGAGGGUAGUGGAAUUUCCUGUGUAGCGGUGAAAUGCGUAGAUAUAGGAAGGAACACCAGUGGCGAAGGCGACUACCUGGACUGAUACUGACACUGAGGUGCGAAAGCGUGGGGAGCAAACAGGAUUAGAAACCCUGGUAGUCC
rnacentral:rRNA from 1 species